AUAUGGCCGUCUCGGUCCUUCUCGGUCUUUUGAGAAGUUGCUUCUGUGCUGUGUUUGUCGGCUGAACUGAUCUGUGGUUACAAGGAACUUCUUUGUUGAGGGAAGAAGAGGAUUUGCACGGCUCCUUGAUGGAGGUUAACUUUAUGAUCUUGGAACUAUAAGUAAUUAGGCAAAGUUGUCUAUAUUAGGGGCUCAGCCAGGCAAGCACCCCUACCUAGCUGAUCUCAGUCUAGUAAAUGUAUGUGUGUAUAUAUAUGGAUGAGACCUUAUUGGUGUAUAGUAAUUACCUAGGAUAUUCCUUUCCCCAUAACAUAAAUCACUAAGAUUAUACUUGAUUCAAGGCCAGACUGUUAAAGUACUUGAUUCUAUUCUAUAAAUGUGAUAUGCAUUACAAAACUGUUAACAUUUGUAUGAAUUAAAAGAUUUUCAUUUCG